AGUCAGNGGUGAAAUCUCACAGCUUAACUGUGAAACUGCCAUUGAUACUGCGGGUCUUGAGUGUUGUUGAAGUAGCUGGAAUAAGUAGUGUAGCGGUGAAAUGCAUAGAUAUUACUUAGAACACCAAUUGCGAAGGCAGGUUACUAAGCAACAACUGACGCUGAUGGACGAAAGCGUGGGGAGCGAACAGGAUUAGAUACCCUGGUAGUCCACGCCGUAAACGAUGCUAACUCGUUUUUGGGUUUUCGGAUUCAGAGACUAAGCGAAAGUGAUAAGUUAGCCACCUGGGGAGUACGUUCGCAAGAAUGAAACUCAAAGGAAUUGACGGGGGCCCGCACAAGCGGUGGAUUAUGUGGUUUAAUUCGAUGAUACGCGAGGAACCUUACCAAGGCUUAAAUGGGAAAUGACAGGCUUAGAAAUAGGCUUUUCUUCGGACAUUUUUCAAGGUGCUGCAUGGUUGUCGUCAGCUCGUGCCGUGAGGUGUUAGGUUAAGUCCUGCAACGAGCGCAACCCCUGUCACUAGUUGCCAUCAUUCAGUUGGGGACUCUAGUGAGACUGCCUACGCAAGUAGAGAGGAAGGUGGGGAUGACGUCAAAUCAUCACGGCCCUUACGCCUUGGGCCACACACGUAAUACAAUGGCCGGUACAGAGGGCAGCUACACAGCGAUGUGAUGCAAAUCUCGAAAGCCGGUCUCAGUUCGGAUUGGAGUCUGCAACUGAGUCUAGCAG
rnacentral:rRNA from 1 species